rnacentral:rRNA from 1 species
UACGUAGGGUGCAAGCGUUGUCCGGAAUUAUUGGGCGUAAAGAGCUCGUAGGCGGUCUGUCACGUCGGCUGUGAAAUCCCGAGGCUCGACCUCGGGUCUGCAGUCGAUACGGGCAAACUAGAGUAUUGCAGGGGAGACUGGAAUUCCUGGUGUAGCGGUGGAAUGCGCAGAUAUCAGGAGGAACACCGAUGGCGAAGGCAGAUCUCUGGGCCGUAACUGACGCUCAUGCACGAAAGCGUGGGGAGCAAACAGG